rnacentral:rRNA from 1 species
AAUUCCAGCUCCAAUAGUGUAUAUUAGAGUUGUUGCAGUUAAAAAGCUCGUAGUUGGAUUUCUGUCGUAGGUCAUCCGGCGCUGCCUGUAUGGGUGUGCGCGUGGUUUGCCCGCGGCAUUUUUUCGGCAGCUUGCAACGCUUAAUUGCGUUUGUAGGUGAUCCGGAACUUUUACUUUGAGAAAAAUAGAGUGUUUCAAGCAGGCUUGUUGCCCUGAAUACUUCAGCAUGGAAUAAUAAGAUAGGACCUUGGUUCUAUUUUGUUGGUUUUUAGGACCAAGGUAAUGAUUAAUAGGGACAGUUGGGGGCAUUCGUAUUUAACUGUCAGAGGUGAAAUUCUUAGAUUUGUUAAAGACGAACUACUGCGAAAGCAUUUGCCAAGGAUGUUUUCAUUAAUCAAGAACGACAGUAGGGGGUUUGAAGACGAUUAGAUACCGUCGUAAUCUCUACCAUAAACUAUGCCGACUAGAGAUAGGGAAACGCCUACCUUGGCUUCUCCUG